GAUGAAGAACGCAGCGAAAUGCGAUACGUAAUGUGAAUUGCAAAUUCAGUGAAUCAUCGAGUCUUUGAACGCACAUUGCGCCCCCUGGUAUCCCGAGGGGCAUGCCUGUUCGAGCGUCAUUUCACCACUCAAGCCUGGCUUGGUGUUGGGCGACGUCCCCUUUGGGGACGCGCCUCGAAACGCUCGGCGGCGUGGCACCGGCUUUAAGCGUAGCAGAAUCUUUCGCUUUGGAAGUCGGGGCCCCGUCUGCCGGAAGACCUACUCGCAAGGUUGACCUCGGAUCAGGCAGGGAUACCCGCUGAACUUAAGCAUAUCAAUAAGCGGAGGA
rnacentral:misc_RNA from 1 species